AAACUUUCAACAACGGAUCUCUUGGUUCCGGCAUCGAUGAAGAACGCAGCGAAAUGCGAUAAGUAAUGUGAAUUGCAGAACUCAGUGAAUCAUCGAAUCUUUGAACGCACAUUGCGCCCCCUGGUAUUCCGGGGGGCAUGCCUGUUCGAGCGUCAUU
rnacentral:rRNA from 1 species